rnacentral:rRNA from 1 species
CCUACGGGAUGCAGCAGUAGGGAAUAUUGCUCAAUGGGGGAAACCCUGAAGCAGCAACGCCGCGUGGAGGAUGAAGGUUUUCGGAUUAUAAACUCCUUUUGUUAGAGAAGAUAAUGACGGUAUCUAACGAAUAAGCACCGGCUAACUCCGUGCCAGCAGCCGCGGUAAUACGGAGGGUGCAAGCGUUACUCGGAAUCACUGGGCGUAAAGAGCGCGUAGGCGGGAUAGCAAGUCAGAUGUUAAAUCCUUUGGCUUAAACAGAGAACGGCAUUUGUAACUGUUAUUCUAGAGUAUGGGAGAGGUAGGUGGAAUUCUUGGUGUAGGGGUAAAAUCCGUAGAGAUCAAGAGGAAUACUCAUUGCGAAGGCGACCUGCUAGAACAUAACUGACGCUGAGGCGCGAAAGCGUGGGGAGCAAACAGGAUUAGAUACCCCUGUAGUC